UGGGGAAUUUUGGACAAUGGGCGAAAGCCUGAUCCAGCAAUGCCGCGUGUGUGAAGAAGGCCUUCGGGUUGUAAAGCACUUUUGUCCGGAAAGAAAUCCUUGGCUCUAAUACAGUCGGGGGAUGACGGUACCGGAAGAAUAAGCACCGGCUAACUACGUGCCAGCAGCCGCGGUAAUACGUAGGGUGCAAGCGUUAAUCGGAGUUACUGGGCGUAAAGCGUGCGCAGGCGGUUUGCUAAGACCGAUGUGAAAUCCCCGGGCUCAACCUGGGAACUGCAUUGGUGACUGGCAGGCUAGAGUAUGGCAGAGGGGGGUAGAAUUCCACGUGUAGCAGUGAAAUGCGUAGAGAUGUGGAGGAAUACCGAUGGCGAAGGCAGCCCCCUGGGCCAAAUACUGACGCUCAUGCACGAAAGCGUGGGGAGCAAACAGGAUUAGAUACCCUGGUAGUCCACGCCCUAAACGAUGUCAACUAGUUGUCGGGUCUUCAUUGACUUGGUAACGUAGCUAACGCGUGAAGUUGACCGCCUGGGGAGUACGGUCGCAAGAUUAAAAACUU
rnacentral:rRNA from 1 species